GUGUGUGUGUGUGUGUGUGUGUGUGUGUGUGUGUGUGUGUGUGUGUGUGUGUGUGUGUGUGUGUGUGUGUGUGUGUGUGUGUGUGUGUGUGUGUGUGUGUGUGUGUGCGUUCAUGCAUUCGUGUGUGUGUGUGUGUGUUUAAUUCAUGUUAUGUAACUAAAUAAAAGGUUAGACUGUUUGAUCAGGGUUCAUGAGAUACGACAGAACAUAGGACCUUUGUUGAGGCUGGUAACAUUAUGGCUCAGUUUAUUAUAGACACCUGUUAUCACAAGAGAACUCUUCGCUUUUAAAAUAGACCAUGACAUCAGAGAAGCUAGGUAAGCAAGGGAAAGGAUAUCAUAUCUCAGGGGUUUCAAGGUGAAAUUGCAAAAAAAUAUUUUAAAGUCCAUCUGUUUUGUUUUCAUUAUGGACAAAUUGUUUAGAGAGAAAUGGUUCACACAGAUAACGGUUGACUCUGACGCCACGGAAUGAUAACUGUUAAGAACUGCUGAUAUCCUAGAAACUAUAAUUCUCUGUCUGUCUGUCUGUCUGUCUGUCUGUCUGUCUGUCUGUCUGUCUGUCUGUCUGUCUGUCUGUCUGUCUGUCUGUCUGUCUGUCUGUCUGUCUGUCUGUCUGUCUGUGUCUGUCUGUCUGUCUGUCUGUCUGUCUGUCUCUCCAUGUUAGAGCUAGGUAACAUCAGAUCAUACUGUCUGUCUCUCUGUCUGUCUCUCUCCAUGUUAGAGCUAGGUAACAUCAGAUCAUACUGUCUGUCUCUCUGUCUGUCUCUCUGUCUGUCUGUCUCCAUGUUAGAGCUAGGUAACAUCAGCUCAUACUGUCUGUCUCUCUGUCUGUCUCUCUCCAUGUUAGAGCUAGGUAACAUCAGAUCAUACUGUCUGUCUCUCUGUCUGUCUCUGUCUGUCUGUCUCCAUGUUAGAGCUAGGUAACAUCAGAUCAUACUGUCUGUCUGUCUGUCUGUCUCUGUCUGUCUGUCUCCAUGUUAGAGCUAGGUAACAUCAGAUCAUACUGUCUGUCUCUCUGUCUGUCUGUCUCCAUGUUAGAGCUAGGUAACAUCAGAUCAUACUGUCUGUCUCUCUGUCUGUCUGUCUGUCUCUCCAUGUUAGAGCUAGGUAACAUCAGAUCAUACUGUCUGUCUCUCUGUCUGUCUGUCUCCAUGUUAGAGCUAGGUAACAUCAGAUCAUACUGUCUGUCUCUCUGUCUGUCUGUCUCCAUGUUAGAGCUAGGUAACAUCAGAUCAUACUGUCUGUCUGUCUGUCUGUCUGUCUGUCUGUCUGUCUGUCUGUCUGUCUGUCUGUCUGUCUGUCUGUCUGUCUGUCUGUCUGUCUGUCUGUCUCCAUGUUAGAGCAAGGUAACAUCAGAUCAUACUGUCUGUCUGUCUGUCUGUCUGUCUGUCUGUCUGUCUGUCUGUCUGUCUGUCUGUCUGUCUGUCUGUCUGUCUGUCUGUCUGUCUGUCUGUCCUUCUGUAGGUUUUAACUCCAACCCUGUUCCUGGAGAGAGACCCUCCUGUCGGUUUUAACUCCAACCCUGUUCCUGGAGAGAAACCCUCCUGUAGGUUUUAACUCCAACCCUGUUCCUGGAGAGAAACCCUCCUGUAGGUUUUAACUCCAACCCUGUUCCUGGAGAGAAACCCUCCUGUAGGUUUUAACUCCAACCCUGUUCCUGGAGAGAGACCCUCCUGUAGGUUUUAACUCCAACCCUGUUCCUGGAGAGAAACUCUCCUGUAGGUUUUAACUCCAACCCUGUUCCUGGAGAGAGACCCUCCUGUAGGUUUUAACUCCAACCCUGUUCCUGGAGAGAGACCCUCCUGUAGGUUUUAACUACAACCCUGUUCCUGGAGAGAAACUCUCCUGUAGGUUUUAACUCCAACCCUGUUCCUGGAGAGAAACCCUCCUGUAGGUUUUAACUCCAACCCUGUUCCUGGAGAGAGACCCUCCUGUAGGUUUUAACUCCAACCCUGUUCCUGGAGAGAGACCCUCCUGUAGGUUUUAACUCCAACCCUGUUCCUGGAGAGAAACCCUCCUGUAGGUUUUAACUCCAACCCUGUUCCUGGAGAGAAACCCUCCUGUAGGUUUAUCAUUUUCAACCCAAGAUGGUAUAUACUCUACAAAAUCUCGGCUGGAUUUUUGAGUAUUUGGGAAAUAACUUGAGAAGUUGUAUAGGUAAUAUGUAUAAAUAUGAAAUGUAUUAUAUUAAAAUAGAACCAAAGGACAGUUGGGUUGUUAGAAUCCUCGGUGUCAGAGGUGUGUGUAACCUGAUUCUACUCUUGAAUGUCGUUCUGUCUAAAACAUUCUAUUCUGCCAUGAAGUCAUGAAAACAAACCAGCCACAGCACAUUCCUUAUAGUAGUGUGUGUGUGUGUGUGUGUGUGUGUGUGUGUGUGUGUGUGUGUGUGUGUGUGUGUGUGUGUGUGUGUGUGUGUGUGUGUGUGUGUGUGUGUG